GACGAACGCUGGCGGCGUGCUUAACACAUGCAAGUCGAACGGAAAGGCCCCCACCUUGGUGGGGGUGCUCGAGUGGCGCACGGGUGAGUAACACGUGGGUGAUCUGCCCUGUACUUCGGGAUAAGCUUGGGAAACUGGGUCUAAUACCGGAUAGGACCAUGGUUUAGUGUCUCAUGGUGGAAAAAUUAUUGUUUUGGUGCAGGAUGAGCUCGCGGCCUAUCAGCUUGUUGGUGGGGUAAUGGCCUACCAAGGCGUCGACGGGUAGCCGGCCUGAGAGGGUGGACGGCCACAUGGGGACUGAGAUACGGCCCAGACGACUACGGGAGGCAGCAGUGGGGAAUAGUGCACAAUGGGCGCAAGCCUGAUGCAGCGACGCCGCGUGGGGGAUGACGGCCUUCGGGUUGUAAACUCCUUUCGUUAGGGACGAAGCCACACCUUUUUUGGGUGUGGUGACGGUACCUUUGUUAAGAAGCACCGGCUAACUACGUG
rnacentral:rRNA from 1 species